AUGUUUGCCCAGGAACACAAGAAAGAAAAAUUAUGUGACAUGCUACAGGUAAAAAAGCAUCAGCAUUUCCUAUAUAACAUGCUGAGAGGAAAAAUGAGCUGGAAGGCACAUCUGCAGCCCCAGGUCAAAUUUUCAUCUUAUGCUCAUAAGCUUGAGUGUGUAAGAGCUGAAGUGCUCUUGGAUGAAGUGAGUCUUUUGAACACACCAGUUAAUGAAGAUGUCUUUAGAGAAUAUGGCAUGAUUUACAAACACUGAAGUCCAUAAGGCUGGGUUUAUAAUUCUCAAGCAUACAUCUUCUCCCCCUCCCCCCUUACAAUCCUCUUCCCUGCAUCUUCCUUUCUUCAGCACAGGAAAUGAAGAUAAUUGUUCCUAAGAAAAAAAAUCAACUUUGAAAAGCACUCUGAAAUUCUCACACAACCAUGUGACAGGGUUAAAACUGUGAUGGCUUCCUAAAUGGCUGGAAAACUGCUAUGAAAUGGCAUCAUCACCAGAGGGCUUCUACCUUAAGAAUCCCAAAGCCUAUAACAAGUCAUUAAAAAUUGUGCAUUGAAGAUUUUUGUUUUGCUUUUAAAUGUUCAUUAUAAAAAUCUUGUUAAUUGUUUUAAUACCAAGUCUGUAUAAUGGAUUAUUUUAAAUAGCUUAUAACAAAAGUUUGUUUUUAAAUUCCAAAAUGUUCCAACAGGCAGAAGGGCAACAUAAAAACAUUGCCACACUUGCCUUUUACUCUGAUUUUAGCUGGACGAUGCUGCUUGCUUGGAGUUUGCCAGUAGAAAAUUUGCUGUGGACUUAAAAGUAUUUUGUUUAUAAACACUUUGUGUUUUAUAGGCACAGUAAGAUGUUGUGCUGUAUGGAUUAAAAAAAAAAGAUGUAAUUCAGUGCUUCUGUUAUGAAGAGUAACAUUUGCCUUCCAACUAUGUAAAAGUCUGUAUUCAUGGAUGUGUGCUAAGACACAACUACUCACACAUGCACUUACACACGUACCCCCACACAUCCUCCCUUACUGUGCAUAUACAGCAUUCUGUAUGUGUA
rnacentral:lncRNA from 1 species